GCUGGGAUUACUGGCAUGAGCCACCGCGCCCGGCCAACACAUUUUUUAGUAUUCAGUUUUGUUUCGUUUUGUUUUGCUUUGUUUUGAGUGAUGCUCUUCCUCUGUUUCCCAGGCUGGAGCACAAUUGGUCCAUCACAGCUCACUGUAGCCUGGAACUCCCAGACUCAAGCGGUCCUCCCACCUCUACCUCCCAACUGCUCCUAGUUGGGGGCCAGGGCCUGGGCCUGGCCUGGGGAAGGAUAUGGGAACCAAAGCCUGAGAGUUAGGUUUCCACUCCCUUCCUUUGUGCCCUCACCACCCUCUGAGCCCUCACCUCCCUGGGUUCCUGGGCAACUCUGAUCUCAGUCCUGAGGAUACUAGACAAGCCCCCAACAUUUCUAAAUUUUUUGUAGAGUUGGGGGUCUCACUAUGUUGCGCAUGCUGGUCUUGAACUCCUACCUUCAAACACUCCUCCCACCUCAGCCUCCCAAAUUGCUGGGAUUACAGGCAUAAGCCACUGUGCCUGACUCUAUUAAAAUUUAAUUAAAAAUUUGAAAAAGUGAAAAUUCAGUCUGGGUGUGGUGGCUCAUGCCUAUAAUCCCAGCACUUUGGGAAGCCAUGGUGGGUGCACCACUUGAGGUCAGGAGUUCGAGACCAGCCUGGCCAACAUGGUGAAACCCUGUUUCUACUAAAAAUACAAAAAUUAGCCAGGCAUGAUGGCGGGCACCUGUAAUCCCAGCUAUUUGGGAGGCUCAGGCAGGACAAUAGCUUGAAUUUGGGAGGUGGAGGUUGCAGUAAGCCAAGAACAUGCCGUUGCACUCCAUCCUGGGCGACAAGAGCGAGACUCUAUCUCAAAAAACAAAAAAAAAAGCGGAAACGUACAUAAAUAUCCCUGGAAGGAUUCACAGGAACAGCAUCCCACAGAUUGCCUACAAGGUGAGACUGGGAGACAGGAAUGGAAGAGAUGCCUAUUUUAACUUUACAAUUUUCUGUACUAUUUGAAUUUUUUUUUUUUUUUUUAAUAGAGACGGGGCUCUCUCUUUUUUGUCCAGGCUGGUCUCGAACUCCAGGGCUCACGCCUGGCCCUAUUUGAAUUUUGAACCAUGUAAAUAUUCAUGUUGAACCAUGUAAAUUUUUUUCUUUUCAGAAAAAUAUAAAAUCUGUCUGGGCAUGCGGGACACUGCGGGCCCCCGACGGGGUGUGUCUCCUGCCUCUUUAACCUGGCAGGGGCGGUUCAAGUGGCCGGGGAAAUCAGCGUUUUGGAGGGUCGAGGGCUGGUGCUUUGAAAGAGAGGCGGAGGGGAGAGAGGGAUUCCCUGUCCCAGCUGCACUAGGUGCAUCCCCUCGGUUACUGCUUUUCUCCGCCCGCAGGGCCCCUAACCUGUUGGAACCCGUUGUGCAGUAGAGGCGGUCGGGUCCCUUCAAGGCCCCGCCGCGCCUGCGCCUUGGGUUCUCCUGACGCCGCCGAUCCGGACCCUGAGGAGCCAGUGGGCUGCAGGCACAGGCACAGGCACAGGCACAGGCGAGGGGUUGGGUGGCGGUUGAGACUGCGGCGGUACUGGGAUGGGUAGGUGAGGAUCCCGAGACUGCGUGAGCUUGUGUGCGCGGUAAUUUGGGGAACGCCGGACGGGCACCCUGCGGCGCCAGGAGCCGGGCCGAAGCACGACGGAGAGGCGGCGCGGCUGUCGGCCACCAUCUGAAUGGGAAGUUACGGCGAAGUCCACCCAGCCUUUCUGAGGUGAGGGCGCCGCGCCAGGCUGGGCGGGCGGUGAAUCCGGGACCCGCGGGCGCACACCUGGGUCCAGGCGCGGGCGUCGCAAGUUUUGUUGCGCCAGCGGUGGUGGUCGCGAGGUGGGGCGUGCACCGCCGGGGCCUAAGUUCCCUGCGCUGAAUUCUUCGCCUGCCGCUGCCGCCUGCAGCCCAGCUCUCGUGGGCGCUGGGAGGAAACUCGCUGGGGAGUGUUCUGUGGCAUCCCAGGGGUUGGAGGGACGGAGCAGCAUCGGGGGCACGUCCUCCUAUAUCCUGUAGAGGACACUGACCCUGCAUCCCACCCUCGAGGCCGGAAAUUGAUCGGUUGCCUCUGCGGGCCUGAGAGGUGAGAGCGCUCGCGCCCCUGCCUUGCAAAGUUGGGGUCUUUACUGGCCUCCGGGCUUCUGCUCCUGGCGGUGUCUCCAGGCUGGUGAUGGGCAAGCCAGGUGUGCCAGGUCCAGGAUGCACAUGAGGAGCGUUUGUAGCCAUCACUGAAUCACCUCUUGACUAGUGGGGCAAGCCUCAAAUGAACCGCAGGAUUUCGGGUAGGUUGGAUUGUGGGGUUGCUGUUUGCACUGCGAGGAGUUGCUGUGAUUUCCCUGUGUCAGUCUGUCUGUCUUUCUGGCUUCUUAGAUCAUCAUCUCAUUUGGCAUCCUUUCACUGAAGAGUUAACCAAGACAUUUGGCCUGGUUUCCUUGCUUUCCUCCUAUCUUUUGCUGCUAGAGCUGCUUUCGAAAAGAAGUCUUUUCUGGCAGUGGUAUCUUUUCUUUGGGUUACAGUGUUGUUCAUCCUUUCUUUGCCAAAGUAAUGAAUCCCAGUGCUUCAGGAAGUUAAAGAAAAGAUCUGCUGGUAGUGUUUAAUCUGUUCUGAGCUGAUAUGCGUUAGUAGCUUUCUUUUUGUUUUUAAAUUUUAUUAGUAAAAUUUCACUAGUGAACCAGAAGCUAUUUUUUUCUAUUCUGAAAUGCUAGCUUUAAGAUUUCUGAGAACUUUGCGUCAGAGAAAUCUUGGAAAAGUUACUGAAGUAUACAGAAGAAGUUCACAAUUUUAAAUGUGCAGGUGGCCCGGGCGCAGUAGAUGACACCUGUAAUCCCAGCACUUUGGGACGCCAAGGAUCUCACUCCAUUGCCCAGGCUGGAGUGCAGUGGCACAAUCACAGCUCACCGCAACCUUGACCUCACAAGGCUCAGACAGGACCUCACUCUAUUGCCCAGGCUAGAGUGUGGUGGCAGGAUCUCAGCUCAUUCAACCUCCAUCUCCUGUCUCAAGUGAUCCUCCCAUCUCAGCCUCCUGAGUAGCUGCGACUAUAGGCGUGUGUCACCAUGCCUGGCUAAUUUUCGUAUUUUUUGUAGAGAUGGGAUUCAACAUGUUUCCCAGGCAAUCUGAAGGCAAAUCCUGUUUAGACCCAGGUGAAGGUUCCUGGUGACCCAGGCUCUCACCAGCCGAUUGUCCCUUGCCGUCCUCCUGAGGGUGUCUGGAGCUUCAGUGCUGUGUGCUCUUGGCCUCCACGCUGGGGAUGCCUCUGACUCCCACGGUCCAGGGCUUCCAGUGGACUCUCCGAGGCCCUGAUGUAGAAACUUCCCCAUUGGGUGCACCAAGAGCAGCCUCACAUGGUGUGGGCUGACAUCAAGAGCUGCCAGAUCCAACAGAAACUGAGCAAACGUGGCUAUGAAACAGACGGUCAUAGAAUUGGUUCAGUGGUUGUGAGUGCAGCAACCCAAGAGUGUCUUAUCUGAAACAACACCAGGAAUGCCUGGACACGAUAGACAAAGGUUGUUCAACUGGAUGCCUUAGGAUACAUGCUACCAAAACCCAACUAGCCAAAAAGGAACCAGAAUAACAGAAUAUCAGAGUCAGAGGAACAUUUGGAGGUAAUUCAGUACCUCCUCCUUUUCAACCUACAAGGGAGAUAGUGGAACAGAAGCAGAAAUGGGCCUGCCUGCUGUGCCCAAAAUUCAUUGGAGAUUGUUGCGGUGAAGAAUUUCAUUUAUGAUGAAGGAGAAAUAAACCCCCGUCAGCUUAAAUUCAGGCAGGUUUAUUGAAAAGGUGAAGAAGCGUCUUGCAGAAGCAAAGCAUGGCUGAGGCUUGUGGGCUCUGUCUGGGAAAAUGAGCAGCUGA